GAGGAGUGGCAGAGUGGUUGAAUGCGGCGGUCUUGAAAACCGUUGAGCGUGCGAACGUUCCGGGGGUUCGAAUCCCUCCUCCUCC
rnacentral:tRNA from 1 species